ACACUAACACUAUGUUAAAUCUGAAGGAAAUACAACUUUUAGAAAAAGCACAAAGGUUUUCAAGCUGGAGAACAGCUAACAACUGUGCUACCCGCAAAGGCACUCCAGCCAGCAAUAGAAAGAACUGUUACUCUGCAGCCGUGUGAGUGACUUUCAAACACUAUAUACCAAGUGAUAAAAGACAGAUUUUGGAGGUAAGAGUGUAUCUCAGAGGGCAGUUUGGCAUACGCAAGGGCAUGGGUUCAAUGCCCAGUCUUCGAAAGAAGGUGAAGUUUAUAUUCAUAACCCAUUCUUGCAUAAUAAAAUGAUUUCUAAAGCCAGCAGGGGCAGGGAAGCAAACUCCGACCAAGCAUCUGAGCAUCCAUCCGGAAGGAGAGCAAUGGAAACUGCAGGAUGCUGUCUUACUUUCAGAGAAGAAAGUUCCGUGAUUCCUCACAAAUGAGACUCGUCCUUGGAGCUUUCUGAAGCUGCGGUGACAGAGCCAAGGGAUUCACAGUACUCAUUACUCACAUUACCGGAAGCUAAACGUGCUCUCUUAUUGAGUCAGCUGGGAAAAGAGGAACACCCUGUGACACACAGGCUACCGCUGGGACUAGAACGCCAGCACAGCAGAGUCCACAGCCACAGAGCCUGGGGCUGCUCCCUCAGGGACAAGUUUUGUUUCCAGGAGAAGGAGGAAGUGUUGCGGAGUGGCACACAGGUGGGCGUGACCGCGAACGUGAUCACUGGAGCAGUACAACCAGCCGGGACCCUUUGCAGUAAGACCGUCACGCCCUUCCACAGCCGUUGACCCAGGCAGCCCAGCAUUUGCUUCAUAUUUGGACAUGUUUCCAGGCGACUCUUGGCACUGAGCAAGCCUGGAAAACAGCUCUAGCCUUCCCACUGGGAGAGGCCAGUGAUGGCUGUGGAGGUCCGGUACCCAGGAACAUGGUCGGUAGUUAUAUAUGACCCGGGAUCUACUGAAUUGCUAGUCCCAAAGAUUCUAUUAUGGGGUUGAGACAUGGUUCAGUAGUUUGGAGCACUGACGGCCCUUACUGAGGAUACAGGCUCGAUUCUCAGCACCCACAUGGCAGCUUGCAACCAUCUGUAUCUCCAGUUCCAGGGGAUUUAAUGUCCUUUUUUUUUUUUUGAAAAACACUUAUACACAUAAAAAAUAAAAAUAAAAAC
rnacentral:lncRNA from 1 species